rnacentral:rRNA from 1 species
AGCGCAGGCGGGAAGACAAGUUGGAAGUGAAAAUCAUGGGCUCAACCCAUGAAUUGCUUUCAAAACUGUUUUUCUUGAGUAGUGCAGAGGUAGAUGGAAUUCCCGGUGUAGCGGUGGAAUGCGUAGAUAUCGGGAGGAACACCAGUGGCGAAGGCGGUCUACUGGGCACCAACUGACGCUGAGGCUCGAAAGCAUGGGUAGCAAACA